CCUACGGGGGGCUGCAGUGGGGAAUAUUGCACAAUGGGGGAAACCCUGAUGCAGCAACGCCGCGUGAGCGAUGAAGGCCUUCGGGUCGUAAAGCUCUGUCCUAAGGGAAGAAUACUGACGGUACCAUCGGAGGAAGCCACGGCUAUCCACGUGCCAGAGGCCGCGGUAAUACGCAGGGGGCGAGCGUUAUCCGGAAUUACUGGGCGUAAAGGGUGCGAAGGCGGCCCUUCAGGUCAGAGGUGAAAGGCUACGGCUCAACCGUAGUAGGCCAUGGAAACUGUAGGGCUUGAGUGUAGGAGAGGAGAGUGGAAUUCCCAGUGUAGCGGUGAAAUGCGUAGAUAUCAGGAGGAACACCAGUUGCGAAGGUGGGUAUCUGGACUGUAACUGACGCUGAGGCGCGAAAGCGAGGGGAGCGAACAGGAUUAGAUACCCUUGUAGUC
rnacentral:rRNA from 1 species